UACGGAGGGUGCAAGCGUUAUCCGGAUUCACUGGGUUUAAAGGGUGCGCAGGCGGUAAAGUAAGUCAGUGGUGAAAUCCCUUCGCUCAACGAAGGAACUGCCAUUGAUACUGCUAUACUUGAAUAUAGUCGAAGUGGGCGGAAUGUGACAUGUAGCGGUGAAAUGCUUAGAUAUGUCACAGAACACCGAUAGCGAAGGCAGCUCACUAGACUAACAUUGACGCUCAUGCACGAAAGCGUGGGGAGCGAACAGG
rnacentral:rRNA from 1 species